rnacentral:rRNA from 1 species
UACAGAGGGUGCAAGCGUUAAUCGGAAUUACUGGGCGUAAAGCGCGCGUAGGUGGUAUGUUAAGUUGGAUGUGAAAGACCUGGGCUCAACCUAGGAUGGUCAUCCAAGACUGGGAUACUAGAGUAUGGUAGAGGGAAGUGGAAUUUCCGGUGUAGCGGUGAAAUGCGUAGAGAUCGGAAGGAACACCAGUGGCGAAGGCGGCUUCCUGGACUAAUACUGACACUGAGGCGCGAAAGCGUGGGUAGCAAACAGG